rnacentral:lncRNA from 1 species
AGCCGUAGACGGCCGAGCAGUGGAGCGAGGCCGCCUAAAGGAGAGCCGCGCUGUCGAUGAGUCCCAGUGGGCCACCUGGAGCGGAAGUGGAGGAGCGGCCGGAAGUAGCCGGAAUCUCUGAAAGACUGACCGACUGACUCUGACAGGAUCCGGGGCUGAGGGAAGGAGGCGGCGGCCAUGGAGUUGGGCGAGCUGCUCUACAACAAGUCUGAGUACAUCGAGACGGCAUCUGGGAACAAAGUCAGUCGCCAGUCAGUGUUGUGUGGAAGCCAGAACAUCGUUCUCAAUGGCAAGGCUGGAGUGCAAUGGCGCGAUCUCGGCUCACUGCAACCUCCGCCUCCCAGGUUCAAGCGAUUCUCCUGCCUCAGCCUCCCGAGUAGCUGGGAUUACUGCAGACCAUUGUGAUGAAUGACUGUAUUAUCCGAGGGGAUCUGGCAAAUGUAAGAGUUGGACGUCAUUGUGUUGUGAAAAGUCGUAGUGUCAUAAGGCCACCAUUCAAGAAGUUCAGCAAAGGUGUUGCAUUCUUUCCUUUACAUAUUGGAGACCAUGUCUUUAUUGAGGAAGAUUGUGUGGUCAACGCAGCACAGAUUGGUUCCUAUGUUCAUGUUGGGAAGAACUGUGUGAUUGGGCGCCGAUGUGUGUUGAAAGACUGCUGCAAAAUUCUUGACAACACAGUAUUACCUCCAGAAACUGUGGUUCCACCAUUCACUGUCUUCUCAGGCUGCCCAGGACUCUUCUCAGGGGAGCUCCCGGAGUGCACUCAGGAGCUGAUGAUUGACGUCACCAAGAGCUACUACCAGAAGUUUUUGCCCCUGACGCAAGUCUAGCAUCUCUGCCUCAUGUCUUGAAUCUGCUUGAGCUCUAAGAUGAACCUGGGGACAAAGUGAGCCAGUCAGCACCUACAAAGAGCUUUUGUGUCUUUGACAUCUACCACCCUCCUCCUUUUAAAAAAUUUCUUUAGAAUUUCUCAAUCUUCAAGGCUCUAAGUGCUUAAGAAUUCACUAACAGACAGACCAUCUGGAGGAGCUGUCUUCAAAUGCUGUGCUUACACCUUAUCUAUGAACAGUCACUUUGUACCAUUAUCUGUGGAACACAGAAUCAUCUGUUCCCAACACUCCAGCCCCUUGGUCCUGUGGAUGGCUGGAUCCCGCCUGAAACGGACCUGCAGAGCAGCAGCACCCUUCCGGUGUGGAGGCUAUGUAGCUGGUGCGCUGCUCACGGCCAUUCACUGCCCAUGCUGAGCGCCUCUCACACAGGUAAUGCCCAGCUUUUCUGCUGCUAACACAUUUGGCCAGUUGUUGCAGUUGCUCAUCAUCUUGGGAAAGGUGUUUGUGACUUUUCAGAGCCCAGAUUCCUGUUGUCUAUUAAAACUUGAAGGGAGGGGUGAAUAGUGUUUCUCUCUUCUUCCCAAAAUGACCUUAGCUGUCCUAGGAUAGUUAGUAAAAGACUUUUUAGCAUUUUGACCUAGGGCCUUUGGCUUUCACUAAAAGUGGGGACCUCAGUAUCCCAGAUUGUAAUUUUGCCAAGUGUUAGAUUUGAGUCUCUCAUGUGGAUGCAUUAGUCAGGUGGUUACUCCUUGCUUCAAGGUACUUACCUUAUUUCAUUGAAGACACCGCAUUUGUGAACUCUUGCUUCCUGGCCUAGAACCAUUCAGCCUACCCUGUAUUUGCCAUAAACUCCACAAUUCACACCAAAAUGUCUGUACUUAGAGCUAAUUCGCAUAUAUACAGGAAGGGCUCUUAGAAUCAGUUUGUGGGCACAGAGCCUCAGGAGUAAAUGAAGUUACUAGGGCUGUUCUUACCAUCUCCUUCUGGCCAAAUAGCACAACAUUUCCUCGUUCUGCUCUGACCUCUUAGCUUAGAAGGAAGAUUCAGAAGUGAGGGGCUAAGAAGGUUGUCCUUGCCUAAUGCUCUGAUCUGUAAGUGAAUAGGGCAGAACAGUUCAGCCUUGAGGUUAGAAUUUAGCAGGAGCUAUCCUGACUUAAUAUCCAGUUGUGGGGUUUGCAAAACAAAACAGCUGUAUGUAAUCAUUGCCACUAGUUCCAUCUAGAACUCCUUUCUAGUUUGUUAUUUUUAAAAUGUUUAUACAUAAAACCACCAAAAUACAUAGCUUCGACAAGAUGGAAGUUUAUUUCUCUCUCCCAUAACAGUGCAGUGAUAGUCAGCUGGUCCAGGCCAGGCAAGGGGCUGGUCCAUGAUGUCAUCAGGCACCCAGGUUCCUACUGUCUUGCCAUGUGGCCACAGUUAGCAACAAAGGAGGCUGUAAAUUUAGUUUCUACUUGGGCAGCCAAAACUCUGAGGAAGGAGAUUCUGCUAGUAAAAAGGAGUGGGGGAAGAAUGGCCAUUGGGAGACAACAAGCAGACUCAACCAGGCCUCUUUGUUGGCUUCCUUUCCUCCUGCUGCACAUGAGCCUUCGCCGUGCAUUUGGAGCCAUGACAGCUGAUAGCUCCAGACCUGCAUCCUCCUAGCUUGGGGGCUCUGAAUGAAAGGUUUCUUCCCUUCCAGUUCGAAUUUGGAAACUCCCAAAGUUCUCAAUGGUUUGUUGUGAGUUCCAUGUCCUCUUGGAUCAGUCACUGUGGCCAUGCAUGUUUGGCCACAUGAUUAAUCCAGUCUGGGUCAUGACCUUUUCUUCAUCCAAAACAAGGUGAUGGGAAGACAAAAACAAUAGCUACUACAAACAAUAGGAGUUUAUAAUUAUGUGCUGAUGUAUUCGAAGAUGUGUUGACAGUCGUGAGUGUGUAUCCUAGGAAAGGCGAGCUGGACUCUGUCUCCAUGGUGGCUCUCACCCCAGGGACCUAGGAACAGCCUGUCACCACACAAUUACUUUUAUAACCCUGGAGAUGAAAAUCUCCUUGUCCUCAAAAUACUUCCAGAAGAACAACCAGAUGGGAAGGACCUUGGUUGGGACUCUUUCCAGUUCACUUGGGGCAGAGGGAAUUUAAUGGCUCACGUAGCUGAAAAGGAUGGGCUAGAUUGGGCUUCAGGCUGCAUCCCAGGACUCCAAACAGGGAUCUGUCUCUUUGGCUCUCAGCUCUGCUUUCAUUUGAGUUGGCUUUAUUCUUGGGCUUCACAGUGUGGCCCCACAGCACCAGUUAUUGAUAAAAAGAGCUCCCCUUUGCUGACAGAACUGCUGGAUUUGGUUCUCAUUGGUCCAGACGAGGAAGGUAUCCAGCCUCAAGUCAUCAUUGUGGCCAGGAAGAUGGAAUACACCAAAUGGACAGGCCUGGCAUGUACCCACAGAGACUGAGAGUUGGUGCUGGUGGUUGUGGUGGCAGAUGAUAUUACCUGAAGAAGGGACGAAUGGGUGCUGGGCAGGACAAAGCAUCAGCUGUCCAGUUCAGGCCUCUCCUCUUUCCCUGGUGUCUUCAUUUUCCUCCGUCUCCCUGCUGUCCCUUACCCUCUGCCCAAUCUCUCAUUACUCCUGGUCUUGGGAGUUGCCUUCUGAGGAUACUCCACUGGGGGUACCUGAGCCUGGAUUAGAGGGCAGGGGGAGGAUAUUGCCUAGCCAAAGUGGGUGUUCAAUAAAGAACCAUUUGGAGAUGGUCUUCUGUCUGGAACUGCUUCCUUUUUGUUUUAUUAUUUUUCCCCAGAUGAGCUGACUGGGCCAUGGAACUGCAUCCUUAUGGUUCCCAUAGCACCUUACCGAGGCGCCCUUAUCAAUAGAGUUUUAGUUAUGUACCUGUGUUCUUGUCUGAACCCCUACUAACUGUGAGCUCCUGAGGAGUCAGGCCUGAGUCUGUGGGUCAUCUAGCACAUCCUUAAUAGAAUGAUUGCCUGGAUGUGACCACCCUCACCCCCAACCCUCACACACCCUGCCAGCAUGCCUCAGACCUUACCCCAGCUCAAGAUAAGUCUCAGAUUGCAGGAUACCUGCUGCAGGGAACAAAGGUGAAUGAUUGUCUUGUGAGCCUCCUGUUGACUGAUUCUGUUUUACAUGGCUGCACAGAGCCCUUGUGGUUAUUUGGGGUUGGGGUGGUGGCUUCUGUAUUAGUCACUUCUGCAUGAACCAUUUCACUCAGGAUCUGAGGCCACAGUUCCUUUCUUAGUCACUGAUACAUCUGGCAGACUUGAAAUUAAUCAGACAAACAUUGUUCAUAGUUAACAUAUCCUUGGAAGUUUCUCAGCUAUAAGGAAGAGGUCUUGGUGGCUAGGGAGGCCUUUCUCUGUAUCCUGUUCUAUCCAGUGAGAGCCUAGAGGGUGCUGCCCAGCCAUAUUCUGGCUAGCCUCAGCGGUUCUCCUGAAAAAAAAUUGGCAUCUGACAACCUGGAUGGUGACUAUAGGUAGUCAAAUCCAGCUGGCUGGUCUCCUGGGGGUUAGCUUCCAUGGAGCUGCAAGUCCCCUGAAAUGAUACUGGCAGUGUUGGGACAGCGUGUCCGAAGGCCUGGUUUUUUCAGAACUGGUCUCAGCAAAAUGUCUCGCCAACUUCUACAGUUCCCAUAAGUACAUGAUAACUGAAACACUUCUAGAGCCCCCCAGCAAUGGGCUUGUGCUUUUAGUAGAAUAUGUGCUUGCUUCCAUUUAGGGGUAAGAAGGUGGGCCCCUCACCAUAUGCUGCACAGAGAAGAGAGACACCAUCACUCAUUUAUUCAUUUAACAAGUGCUUUCCAAGCCACUACUAGGUGCCAAGCACUUCCUAGGUCCUGGGGAUACAGUGGAGACUAAGAUGGAGCCAGUUCUUUCUCAUAGGGAUCUCACAGCUUAGUGAGUGAGAAAGCCAAAGAGUCAAAAUACAGAGAGGGUCUGAGGGGCCCAUUUUGAGAGCCAUCAUAGUGGUGAGGAGUGUGAGUGCUAGAGUCAGGCUGAUCAAAUCCCAGCCUGCCAUUGGCUAGCCUUGUGACUUUGAGCAAGUUAUCUUACUUCGUGGAACCUCAGGUUUCUCAUCCAUAAAAUGGGGAAGUUGGAUAGGGUAUUAUGAUGAUUGAAAUGCAUUUAUACAUGUAAAGCAUAAGUACUGGCUCAGGGUGAGCACUCAAUAAACGGCAGUUUAUUAGGCACUUUUAUUAGGAAGUGAUACACCUUGAGCAAAACCCCUUAGAGUAUAAGGCAUAGCAUUCUUACAUAUUUUUAAAAUUUAAAAUAAAAUUUAAAACAUCUUGCCCUUUAUAAUCAGUCCGCCACAAACAAGAGAUGGAGAAAUCACCCUUCCUUGUUUUGUAUCUAUGGGGUGCAAACAUUUAAUCCUCCCAACUGUCAAAAAAGUGAGAGUUUCACAGCCUGUUUUACAGCAGAGGAAACUGAUAUUCAGAGAGGUUAAGUAAAUUUGCCCAAUGCCACACAUCUAAUAAAUGGCUGAGCUGGAAUCAAGGCCAGCUCUUACUUGGCUGCAAAAUCCAUGUUUUAUGCAGCUCCUCCACUAUCUUGGCCUCCAAGGCAGCUGGCUUUGAACACUACCCUUGCAGCCCAGUCAGCCAAUCCCUUGCUCUCCUGAAGCUUUUGCUGGUGGGCCAGCCCCACCUGCUUUCCUUGUGCACUCUGACUUGGACCCUGAAGUGAGAAGAGUUGGCACAGGACAUCUUACUUCCCUGAAAACAGUACCUGGACUUUUCUGUAUCUUCACAUCCAUUGGGCAUUGGGCAAAUGGGUCAUGCAGAUGAAAACCAUCCAAGAUAAGAGACAUGGGAGUGAAAUUCACACCCACUCUGGCUUUCAUACCAUGGGUCUGAACAUUAGCCCAUGGUGUUUCUUGGCCAUACUGACCUGUGCCAUUUCAGCUGCAUUCAUCUCAGUUGGUGUUGUCUGCUGGCUGCUCUUUCUGAUUUCCCACAGGAGCAGUAAGAACCUGAGGAAGAGUAGGGUCAGAGGAGUCUGGGAGAAUGAGGAAAUAUGAGAGCCCCAGGAACUGAAAAGGCCUGUGAGAGACUCUGAGCUUCCUGGGAACAGGUAUAGGUUCUUUUUAUUUCAAUAAUAACAGAAACAACUGUCAAAACCAUGUGCCUGUACUAUUUGGAGUGCUGUCCUUGCAGAAUCUCAUUAUAAGAACCUUAGGAAAUAGGCACAUCAUCUCCUGGAUAGAAUCCUAGGAAAUGGGCACUAUAAUGGGCACUUUAUCCCAUUUUAUAAACAUGGAAAUUGAGGCACAGAGAGAUUAAGUACUUUCCCAAGGUCAUACAGCUAGUGAUGGAGGAGCUAGCAUUUGAACCCGGAGUUUUUAGUCUAUUGAGUUUAACCGACAGAUCAUACUGUGUUUUGGUAGGGAGGGAGGGAGGAAGCAAGCAAGUGAACAAAUGAGUCUGGGAUUUAGGACUUGCCAGACAAACAAGGCCCAAGAGGCAAGUGUGCAGGUGGGUGUAGUUGGGAGUCAGCAGAGUUGGGUUGGAAUUCAAGCUUUGCCACCUGCUGGCUAUAAACCUUGGUUGGGUAAGUAACCCAAGGUAAAUGAGAUCAUCUCUGUAAAACUCUUAGCCUUGUGCCUGGCACAUAGUAAAUGCUUAAUAAGGGUUCACUGUUAGUAUUACUGUUACUGAUAACAUACAAAUAGAUUGUAUUAAUGGACCAUAAUUGCAACUGUAUAAAACAAAUUCCAUGUUUGGCCAGGCGCAGUGGCUCAAGCCUGUAAUCCCAUCACUUCGGGAGGCCGAGGUGGGCAGAUCACGAGGUCAGGAGAUCAAGACCAUCCUGGCUAACACAGUGAAACCCCAUCUCUACUAAAAAUACAAAAAAAUUAGCCAGGCAUGGUGGCGGGUGCCUGUAUUCCCAGCUACUUGGGAGGCUGAGGCAGGAGAAUGGCGCGAACCCAGGGGGCGGAGCUUGCAGUGAGCUGUAAUUGUGCCACUGCACUCCAGCCUGGGCGACAGAGCGAGACUCCGUCUCAAAAAAAAAAAAAAAAACCACAACAACAACAACAAAAAUUCCAUGUUGACAAGGAUGGGAAUAUGAGAACAUGGAAACAGCUAUGAAAAGACAUAAGAGAAUUAGGAGGAUUUUCUUUAAUAUAUCAUUUUUUAAAAAAAAACUUGCUUGUAUUUGUUUAUUUUUUAAAUAGAGACAGGGUUUUACCAUGUUGCCCAGACUAGUCUUGAACUCCUGGGCUCAAGCGAUCUUGGCCUCCCUAAGUGCUGGGAUUACAGUCAUGAGCCACUGUGCCCCGCCAUUUUUUAAUAAACCUUUCUAAUGGAACAAGUAAAACACAUGCAGUGGAUGCUCAGCAGGCCUUGAGUGUGUGAAUGAAAAAUAUUUGAACUUGUUUUUACUGGUUGAUUUCAUUGCUUAAAAAACAUACCUUAGCUGGACGCAGUGGCGUGCGCCUGUAGUCCCAGCUACUCAUCUCUUAAAAAAAAAGUUUUAUGCUUGUUAAUUUCAUAAAUGCUAGAGGGAUCACCCUAAUCAAAUAAAGCUACUCAAAAAUAAAAUAUGAAAGGUGUUAGUGGGAUACAGCUUUCUAGUUUUUUGCCACUAGUGGAUAGGUUGGAAUUUAAAUUCUUCGGAUAUUG